GGUCUGAAAUAGCCACAUAUAGUUUAUUAUGUUAACAGACACCCCCCUCUUUUUCAUUGUAAUAUUUGAACCUUUAUAAAAACAGUUUUGCAGAAAGCACUGCUACUUUGCACCAGUAGAGGGUGCUAUAACACCAGUGGGUUCAAGCAAACGGCUUCCGCUCUGCUUUGCUCGGCGCAUGUUCAGAUAAUAAACAUACCGAGCAGCAGUAGUGGAAGCUAACAGCUCUCGUGUUGUGUGUUUGGAUCCACAGGUUUGUAAAAUGUACUAUUUGUACAGUUCUGUUCAGUUCAACUAUGUAACAACAUAUAAGCGAAGCUAUGAAGUAGAGCUAAGCAUUGUAUUAUGUGUAAAUAUGUAUUUUAUUGCCUUGUUCACUUCCGUCUGCAAAAGGUCGGUAAAACAAGAAUGAGUGUAUGUGUGUGUGUGAGCCGUUCCGACCAUAAACGUUGCUGGCCACUAGUUAUUGUCUGUUAAUACUAUUCUGAACGUAAUUGGUAUGAUUUGCAAUGUUGUAUAUAUGAAAUGUGAUGUGCUCAGCGCAUGUUCAGAUAAUAAACAUACCGAGCAGCAGUAGUGGAAGCUAACAGCUCUCGUGUUGUGUGUUUGGAUCCACAGGUUUGUAAAAUGUACUAUUUGUACAGUUCUGUUCAGUUCAACUAUGUAACAACAUAUAAGCGAAGCUAUGAAGUAGAGCUAAGCAUUGUAUUAUGUGUAAAUAUGUAUUUUAUUGCCUUGUUCACUUCCGUCUGCAAAAGGUCGGUAAAACAAGAAUGAGUGUAUGUGUGUGUGUGAGCCGUUCCGACCAUAAACGUUGCUGGCCACUAGUUAUUGUCUGUUAAUACUAUUCUGAACGUAAUUGGUAUGAUUUGCAAUGUUGUAUAUAUGAAAUGUGAUGUGCUCAGCGCAUGUUCAGAUAAUAAACAUACCGAGCAGCAGUAGUGGAAGCUAACA